rnacentral:rRNA from 1 species
UGAGGAAUAUUGGUCAAUGGGCGCAAGCCUGAACCAGCCAUCCCGCGUGCAGGAAGACGGCCCUAUGGGUUGUAAACUGCUUUUCCAGGGGGAGAAUUUUUCUGUCGUGACAGGAAUUGACGGUACCCUGGGAAUAAGCAUCGGCUAACUCCGUGCCAGCAGCCGCGGUAAUACGGAGGAUGCGAGCGUUAUCCGGAUUUAUUGGGUUUAAAGGGUGCGUAGGCGGAUAGAUAAGUCAGUGGUGAAAACCUGCAGCUUAACUGUAGACUUGCCGUUGAUACUGUCAGUCUUGAGUGUGGUCAAGGUAGGCGGAAUGUGUAAUGUAGCGGUGAAAUGCUUAGAUAUUACACAGAACACCGAUUGCGAAGGCAGCUUACUGGGCCAUUACUGACGCUGAUGCACGAAAGCGUG